AGUGAACGCUGGCGGUAGGCCUAACACAUGCAAGUCGAACGGCAGCACAGUAAGAGCUUGCUCUUACGGGUGGCGAGUGGCGGACGGGUGAGGAAUACAUCGGAAUCUACUUUUUCGUGGGGGAUAACGUAGGGAAACUUACGCUAAUACCGCAUACGACCUACGGGUGAAAGCAGGGGAUCUUCGGACCUUGCGCGAUUGAAUGAGCCGAUGUCGGAUUAGCUAGUUGGCGGGGUAAAGGCCCACCAAGGCGACGAUCCGUAGCUGGUCUGAGAGGAUGAUCAGCCACACUGGAACUGAGACACGGUCCAGACUCCUACGGGAGGCAGCAGUGGGGAAUAUUGGACAAUGGGCGCAAGCCUGAUCCAGCCAUACCGCGUGGGUGAAGAAGGCCUUCGGGCUGUAAAGCCUUUUGUUGGGAAAGAAAAGCAGCAGGUUAAUACCCCGCUGUUCUGACGGUACCCAAAGAAUAAGCACCGGCUAACUUCGUG
rnacentral:rRNA from 1 species